rnacentral:lncRNA from 1 species
CAUACUUUUCAAAUUUCGAAGUUAACAACAACAUGAAAAUCGAUUUCAAAAUCAUAAAUAACAUGAAAACCGACUGUCCCUAGAGCAAGUGGCAAAGGAUUUGGUGGUUGAUACCCGAGACCUAAGUUCGAAUCCUAGUUGAUUCACAUUUCCAGCUAAAUUUAUUUCUAAAUAAAAUAAAUGAAGCGGGUAAUAUACUACCUAUCUCUCUUAAAAAAAUAUAUAUAAAUAACAUACUAUUUUGUCACAUUUAUAAGCUAACUC